AUGGAUCUGGACGCACACUAUUUGUCUAGUAGUAGGACUACCAAUAUUUUGCUUGACUUGACCUGCCAAAGUCUUUGCUUACUGUUUUCUUUUUCAUCCUUACCCUCUCGCGACCGCGUCGCCCCGCGGGCGACCGACCGCGCCCCGGUUCCUCCUUCGCCAGCUCUCCCUCUCUCUCCCCCUCCUCGCCGCCGUCGCCGGCGUUUGCUGCCGGGCCUGGCCCGGGCGACGCUGCUGGCGGGGCCCCCUGCCAUUCCCCUCACGGUUGCUCUCCGACGCAGGGCGGAGGGCGCCGGUGGGUGCUCCCUAGGCGACGGCAGUCCAACGUGGCGGCGGGGCUUCCUGGCGCGGCGCGGGAGAUCGGCUGGACGGUGGCGUCGCCGUUGGCGGCGGGGUGGCGCGGCGGCGCGGCUAGGCGGCGCCCGCUCGCCCAGAUCUAGGCCCUUCGGGCCCCAUCUAGGUCUGUGCGGGCCGACGGCGGGCGGGUCGGCGGCGUGGAUUCUAGGAGGCGGGGGAGCGGCGAUGGGCGGUGGGCGCCGCCCUGCUGCAGCGUGGCCGGAGGGGCUUAGCGGGCCUGAUUUGGGCCUGGUCGGGCCAGGGGUGGCCUGGUAUGCCCUGCUGCUGCGUCCGGACAGCGACCGCGACGGUGCCGGAGGCACGAGCCUCCUGCACGACGGCGGAGGAGGUGGUUCCCUCCCGCGCGACUACGGCGCUGCUGCUCCCGUCGACCAACGCCUCCUCUCCUUGUUCUCUUGGCCUCGUGGUGGUGAUCUCAGUGAGACGGCGUGGGUGGCGCUGCGCCCGCAGUGGCGCAUGCUGGUGGGCGGCGAGCGGGCUAGUUGGCUCCGAUCCGGUUGGGCGGUGGGGUUUGGAGUUGGGAGAAAUCCUUGUCGGGUCUUCCGACUCCGAUGCGGUGACACCUGCGGGUGCCACCAGUCCUCCCUGGAGGGUGUCAGUGGUCUUCAUUCCCCUCUACCCUCCGCGUGCCGGGAGAAACCCUAG
rnacentral:rRNA from 1 species